UACAGAGGGUGCAAGCGUUAAUCGGAAUUACUGGGCGUAAAGCGCUCGUAGGUGGAUCUUUAAGUCGAUUGUGAAAGCCCCGGGCUCAACCUGGGAAUGGCACUCGAAACUGUAGAUCUAGAGUAUGGUAGAGGAAAGUAGAAUUCCCGGUGUAGCGGUGAAAUGCGUAGAUAUCGGGAGGAAUACCAGUGGCGAAGGCGGCUUUCUGGACCAAUACUGACACUGAGGGGCGAAAGCGUGGGGAGCAAACAGG
rnacentral:rRNA from 1 species